CAGGUGGUCAGGUAGAGAAUACCAAGGCGCUUGAGAGAACUCGGGUGAAGGAACUAGGCAAAAUGGUGCCGUAACUUCGGGAGAAGGCACGCUGACACGUAGGUGAAGUGAUUUACUCAUGGAGCUGAAGUCAGUCGAAGAUACCAGCUGGCUGCAACUGUUUAUUAAAAACACAGCACUGUGCAAACACGAAAGUGGACGUAUACGGUGUGACGCCUGCCCGGUGCCGGAAGGUUAAUUGAUGGGGUCAGCGCAAGCGAAGCUCCUGAUCGAAGCCCCGGUAAACGGCGGCCGUAACUAUAACGGUCCUAAGGUAGCGAAAUUCCUUGUCGGGUAAGUUCCGACCUGCACGAAUGGCGUAAUGAUGGCCAGGCUGUCUCCACCCGAGACUCAGUGAAAUUGAACUCGCUGUGAAGAUGCAGUGUACCCGCGGCAAGACGGAAAGACCCCGUGAACCUUUACUAUAGCUUGACACUGAACAUUGAGCCUUGAUGUGUAGGAUAGGUGGGAGGCUUUGAAGUGUGGACGCCAGUCUGCAUGGAGCCAACCUUGAAAUACCACCCUUUAAUGUUUGAUGUUCUAACGUGGACCCGUAAUCCGGGUUGCGGACAGUGUCUGGUGGGUAGUUUGACUGGGGCGGUCUCCUCCUAAAGAGUAACGGAGGAGCACGAAGGUUGGCUAAUCCUGGUCGGACAUCAGGAGGUUAGUGCAAUGGCAUAAGCCAGCUUGACUGCGAGCGUGACGGCGCGAGCAGGUGCGAAAGCAGGUCAUAGUGAUCCGGUGGUUCUGAAUGGAAGGGCCAUCGCUCAACGGAUAAAAGGUACUCCGGGGAUAACAGGCUGAUACCGCCCAAGAGUUCAUAUCGACGGCGGUGUUUGGCACCUCGAUGUCGGCUCAUCACAUCCUGGGGCUGAAGUAGGUCCCAAGGGUAUGGCUGUUCGCCAUUUAAAGUGGUACGCGAGCUGGGUUUAGAACGUCGUGAGACAGUUCGGUCCCUAUCUGCCGUGGGCGCUGGAGAACUGAGGGGGGCUGCUCCUAGUACGAGAGGACCGGAGUGGACGCAUCACUGGUGUUCGGGUUGUCAUGCCAAUGGCACUGCCCGGUAGCUAAAUGCGGAAGAGAUAAGUGCUGAAAGCAUCUAAGCACGAAACUUGCCCCGAGAUGAGUUCUCCCUGAGACUUAAAGUCUCCUGAAGGAACGUUGAAGACGACGACGUUGAUAGGCCGGGUGUGUAAGCGCAGCGAUGCGUUGAGCUAACCGGUACUAAUGAACCGUGAGG
rnacentral:rRNA from 1 species